rnacentral:tRNA from 2 species
GUCUCCAUCGUCUAGAGGCCUAGGACACCGGGUUUUCAUCCCGGCAACAGGGGUUCGAAUCCCCUUGGAGAUGCCA